AUUUUAAUUUGAUAAUCAAAUAGUAUAGAUUAAUAUUUGAUAUUGUAAUACUGUGCUUCGUGAACAUCAAAUAUAAUAGUGCUGUUUUAAGUUUUAUAAAACAGGAUUAUCCGCUCAGUAUUUAAAUUACAUUUUGAAGAAGGAAUGCAAAAGUUUACGUGCCCGGUGCGCCGAAAUCAAUAAUUUCGUCUCACUCGGGGCAUAGAGACUUCUUCGCUAGCUUCGAGUUUAAAAAGUAAUGUGAACAUUCUAAUGUCGGAGGAUAGUAAUAAUAAAAUGAAAACGGUCAUUUCUAAGGAGGGAUAAUCUUUACUUUGACCAAAUGAAUUGUAUUCUUCAGAAGGGUCAAAUCCGAACGAAUUGUAUGAAGAAAAGACAUCAUAACAUGUCGCAAUUUGUUGAAGUCAAAAAUGUUACAUUUGAUUUGUUAAUGAUUUACAACUAUAAAAUGUAUUAAAAUAAGAACCCAAAAUAUUGGAAUGAUACGAAACCAUUUAUAGCCCGACUUAAGAUGUAUCCCGGACAAUCUAAACACAAAGCUUAAUAUUGCUUUAUCAUAAGAAAUCGAUAAUGAAACAGGUUAAAGCAAUAUCAGAAGAGCGCCGUAAGUUUCUUUCAGGAAACCCAAGAAAGAGUGAGGAAUUGAUGAAUUGCUGGGCUUCUGUUUGUUAAUAUGUCACUUGAAUUUAAACUGAACCCAAUACGGACCAUCUUAUCGUUUUGACACCACCUAGAGAAUAUUAAGAAGAUUUCACUAUUCUUGACGGAGACACAAAUAUUCAAUGCAAGUUAUAACCAGUGUAUGCGUUACCCGGGAUGAAUAUACUCUAUAUGUUGAUAAGGUUUAGCGGCUUGAAACCUAAAUGUUAUAAUAUUGCCACAAUAUUUACGGUCUUUUUAUUUUAUUAUGCACAUAUUUUAUUAGAUGAAGAUUUUUUCUACAGAAGAUUGCGCCGGGAUGGAAUCUUUAAUUUCUAACACUGGUAUUCACUGAACUCAAAGAGUAAUGAUCAAAAAGUUCUGUGUC